UUUUGUGGCGAUGAGGAUACAAAAGCUCCCUCUUCUGAAUUAAAGCUGAGGACGCUUGCUGGCAGAAUCGAACCAAUUAUUAACUUUGCCA